GUUGCUUCCUGUUUUACUUCAUGUUUAACAGUGUUCAACAGAAUAAUUUAUAUUGGACCUUUUUAAAAAAAAUAAAUCUUGAUGAAACCAUAAAGAGCUGCAUUUGAUUAAAUUUCCUUCUCUUAGAUAUGCCAUUUAACACACACACACACACACACACGCACACACAUGCACACACACAGAAAGACUUACAAAAAACUGAUGUGAAACUGGAUGUGGUUAUUAUUAUUGGGUGUUAUGCUGGGUUGACAAGUUCAUUUUUAUCAGUGGUGCACACAUGCAAAAGAAGUGACUUCCUGAAAAGCAGUUUGAACUAAUAAGCAGAGGUGGGACCAAGUCAUUGUUUUGCAAGUCUCAAGUAAGUCUCAAGUCUUUAUCCUCAAGUCUCAAGUCAAGUCUCAAGUAAUGUCAGGCAAGUCAGAGUCGAGUCUCAAGUCACUGGUGUAAAAGUCCGAGUCAAGUCACAAGUCUGAAACUUUGAAUUUCAAGUCCUUUCGAGUCUUUAAAAAAGAAAAAAAAGAAAAAAUAAUGUUGCAGUUAUAUGCUAAAUGUAAAUAUUAGACCAUGUAAUUUUAAAAUCUGUGUUUUUCUCAACACAUGACAAAAUAGUGAACUUAGAAAAUAUACACAAAUUGUGAAAUUGCACCUCUUUAAAAUGCAGCUCAAUUAAACCUAGCUCCAAGAAUAAUUUUCACCGACAGUUCUGAGAUAAGCUGCAUGUUAUUCUUGGAUGCGGUUGUAGGACCAGCUUUAAAAUCGCAUGACAAAAAUAUCAUACACAUUAAAAAAAACUGUAUCACCAACGUAGCCUGUACAACAUUUGCUAGUUAGAUGAAGUCAGCUAUCUCAUCGUAGCAUAUUUAUAUGCAUAUUUAUAAUCAUACGGUUCUUGGAGUGAGUGCAUACACUCAUGAAGUUUAGUAACUUCAGGUCACUGCAACAAGCCCAGGUACAGUUUACCGACGGAUGGGUGCAGGACCUUGAAAUGCACCGUGUAGAACGAAAGACCAUCAUACGUAUCAUAAGUUUACCAGUCUC
ensembl:lncRNA